UACAGAGGUCUCAAGCGUUGUUCGGAUUCAUUGGGCGUAAAGGGUGCGUAGGUGGCGCGGUAAGUCGGGUGUGAAAUCUCGGAGCUUAACUCCGAAAUUGCAUUCGAUACUGCCGUGCUUGAGGACUGGAGAGGAGACUGGAAUUCCUGGUGUAGCGGUGAAAUGCGCAGAUAUCAGGAGGAACACCGGUGGCGAAGGCGGGUCUCUGGGCCGAAAUUGACGCUGAGGAGCGAAAGCGUGGGGAGCAAACAGG
rnacentral:rRNA from 1 species